rnacentral:rRNA from 1 species
AGAGUUUGAUCCUGGCUCAGGAUGAACGCUAGCGGCGUGCCUAAUGCAUGCAAGUCGAACGGUAGGGGUAGAUUUCGGUCUACCUUGAGAGUGGCGGACGGGUGCGUAACACGUUGGUGACCUGCCCUGGAGAGGGGGAUAACGCGGCGAAAGCCGUGCUAAUACCCCGGAUGUCAAAGAGAUUAGAGGCUCAUUGACUAAAGGUUGAGGCUAGAGAUAGCCGAUGUGCUCCUGGAGGGGUCUGCGGCCCAUCAGCUAGUUGGUAGGGUAACGGCCUACCAAGGCAAAGACGGGUAGGGGGCGUGAGAGCGCGACCCCCCACACUGGUACUGAAACACGGACCAGAUACCUGCGGGUAGCAGCAGCAAGGAAUAUUGCGCAAUGGACGAAAGUCUGACGCAGCAACGCCGCGUGGAGGACGAAGGUCUUCGGAUUGUAAACUCCUUUUCUGGGGGAAGAACAGGUGGGUUUCGGCCUGCCCUUGACGGUACCCCAGGAAGAAGGCCCGGCUAACUACGUGCCAGCAGCCGCGGUAAAACGUAGGGGCCAAGCGUUAUCCGGAAUUACUGGGCGUAAAGCGCGUGCAGGCGGUUCUGAAAGUCGGACGUGAAAGCUCCCGGCCCAACUGGGAGAGGCCGUUCGAAACUAUGGGACUAGAGGAUGUAGAGGCAAGUGAAUUCCCGUGUAGUGUGAAAUGCGUAGAUAUCGGGAGGAACACCAGCGGCGAAGGCGGCUUGCUGGGCCCAUCACUGACGCUCAGACGCGAAAGCCAGGGGAGAGAACGGGAUUAGAAACCCCGGUAUUCCUGGCAGUAAACGAUGUCAACUAGGUGUAGGGGGUAACCAAGCCCUCUGUGCUGCCGCAAACGCAAUAAGUUGACCGCCUGGGGAGUACGGCCGCAAGGCUAAAACUCAAAGGAAUUGACGGGUCCCCGCACAAGCGGCGGAGCAUGCGGCUUAAUUCGAUGCAACCCGAAGAACCUUACCUGGGUUUGACAUCACGGGAAAAGCUGUAGAAAUACAGUGUCCAUUAGGGCCCGUGACAGGUGGUGCAUGGCUGUCGUCAGCUCGUGUCGUGAGAUGUUGGGUUAAGUCCCGCAACGAGCGCAACCCUUGUCCUAUGUUGCCAGCGGUUCGGCCGGGGACUCAUAGGAGACUGCCGGGGAUAACUCGGAGGAAGGUGAGGACGACGUCAAGUCAUCAUGCCCCUUAUAUCCAGGGCUGCACGCAUGCUACAAUGGCCGGUACAACGGGCAGCGACCCCGCAAGGGUGAGCGAAUCCUAAAAAGCCGGUCCUAGUUCGGAUUGAAGUCUGCAACCCGACUUCAUGAAGCCGGAGUCGCUAGUAAUCGCGGAUCAGCAAUGUCGCGGUGAAUACGUUCUCGGGGAUUGUACACACCGCCCGUCAAGUCACGGAAGUCGGCAACGCCCAAAGUCAGUGGCCUAACCUUCGGGAGGGAGCUGCCUAAGGCGGGGUCGGCAACUGGGACUAAGUCGUAACAAGGUAGCCGU